rnacentral:rRNA from 1 species
UACAGAGGUCUCGAGCGUUGUCCGGAUUCAUUGGGCGUAAAGGGCGCGUAGGCGGCGGGGCAAGUCGGGUGUGAAAUCUCAGAGCUCAACUCUGAAACUGCACUCGAUACUGCUUUGCUUGAGGACUGGAGAGGAGAUUGGAAUUCACGGUGUAGCAGUGAAAUGCGUAGAUAUCGUGAGGAAGACCAGUGGCGAAGGCGGAUCUCUGGACAGUUCCUGACGCUGAGGCGCGAAAGCUAGGGGAGCAAACGGG